GGCAGGGCCAACCUCACAGACUCCUAUGGCUUUGCAGUAGCAAGGUUCCUUCUCAAGGUCCCUCCUUGAGGAUUGAGAAAGAAUUAGGAUUAAUGCUCUGCACAAGGCCAGCCAUGUGGGGGAACCUGCUGGCAGAGCCCCAGACAGAGACAGGCUCCAAUACAUCUUGAAGCAUAACAAGAGCCAAGGCUGUAAGGAGCAGCAGAGCCCUGUUCUGAUCUACCUCCCUGAAUUUGAUCUACCUCCAUCUACCUCCCUGAAUUUGAU